rnacentral:lncRNA from 10 species
AGGUGAUGGGUCCCGUGCUGGUCUUUCCCGUGCUAUUCUCGUGAUAGUGAAUAAGUCUCAUGAGAUCUGAUGGGUUUAUCAGGGGUUUCCGCUUUUGCUUCUCUCCUCAUUUUCUCCUGGCGCCGCCAUGUAAGAAGUGCCUUUUGCCUCCCGCCAUGAUUCGGAGGCCUCCCCAGCCAUGUGGAACUGUAAGUCCAAUUAAACCUCUUUUUCUUCCCAGUCUCGGGUAUGUCUUUAUCAGCAGCCUGAAAACGGACUAAUACACAUAGCAAGCAGGACAAGUUUUUAAGGAACCCAGUGUUUUUUAAUGCUGAGCGCUAGCGGUACUGUGAGCACAACAGUGCUUUGCUGUGACAGACUGUGCUGUGCAACAUUUAGCAUGUUUAGCAUCUCCGGCCCCUGGGAGCGUAAUGCCAGUAGCACCACUAGCAACGACCAAACCCUCCCUAUUUCCAUAUAGCCCCUUGAUAGAGUGACACCGACCCUGACUGAGAACCUUGGGUAGAUGGAUAAUUUGGUCAGAAAGUGGGCAAGUCUCUUAAAAACAUGCAGUGAUACCAGUUUGACUGAAUUAAAGUUUUAUCAUAAAGGGAUGCCCAAGGCAGGUGGGGAGGACAUCAGGCACGUCCAAGAUGUGUCCAAAGAAAACCAUGUCUGGCUCCUCUAGUGUUUACAUUUGGUCUCAAUGCAAGUAAUUUGCAAGUAGCUUUGCCGUAAAUACAAUUCCAGUCGGCAAGAGUUUACUUAGAAACUAUUCAAUGUCAACUACUAGCCUAGGUUCCUUUAAGGGUGUUCAAAGACAUAAGACAUAGUCCUUACCCUUGAGAAAUGUACAGUCUAGUUGCUAAGAUAUAAUUAAGUGAACACACCAAGGCAGUAUAUAAUCCAGUGUUUGACAGUGUAUCAUUCAUGUUUCAUGGGAACAUUUAGCAAUUAAGUGAAUUCCUCUAUAUUCCUCCUCCUUGAUCUUCUGUAUCUACCCAAAUCCUCUAUCAGAACAGUACAACAAAGAAAGAAGCAAAAAGUCAGCAGAAAGCUGAGAUUAUCAACAAUUAUCUGUGCGUUUUUGCAGUCUUUCCCUUAUUAGGGAUUGUGAAGAAAAUACCCUUGUAAUUUACCUGAGGGGAAAAAAAGGUAUUUUUGUUUGUAAUACAUUAUCUUCAUUAUUAAUGAGAUUUUCAUUUGCUUUCAGAUAUUUUCUAAAAGUAAAGACUUUAAAGAAAGGCACAGGAGGCUGGGAGCAGUGGCUUACAUUUGUAAUCCCAGCACUUUGCGGGGCUGAGGCCGGAGGACUGCUUGAGUCCAGGAGUUUGAGACCAGCCUGGGCAACACAGUGAGACCCCAUCUCUACAAAAAAUUAAAAAUUAGUUACACGGUGGCUUGACUGUGCAUGACUGGAGACAGUGCGAGGUCGCCGAGUCCAUAAGCAGCAAGAAGGGCACACAGAAGGAGAAAGGAGAAGCUUGCUGCCGGAGGAGACAAACUGGACUUUACAGUGUUCUCCGGGGUGGGACCUGACUUUGACCUCAUGUAUACAGAUGGGCCUGACUGAGCUCAUCCAUGCUUAUGUCCGGGUGCUUAAGUCUUAUGGUAAUGUAUUUUUUUUUCAAUUGCCAUUGAAAGAUGUGAGAAAUGAAACAUGAAAAUAUUUAAUAAUUCAGCAUUUCCAAGUGUCUAGACUACUGAACAUAUUAUCCAAGAAAUUAUUUAGAAGAAAGGGAAAGGAAAUAGGCAAGAGAUUUUAUGAGUACUGACUAUGAAUCAGUUGUUUUCAGAGUUGUAUUUCUCACAGAAUAGAUACUAUUUUCCCUGUUUCACAGAUGACAAAUGUGAGGGUCAGAUAGAUUAGGAAACGUGCCCAAAGUUUCACAGCUAGUCAAUGAGAGAAAGCAUUUUCCAAGCCAGGUUCACUUGGCUGCAAAGCACUUACUCUUUCUGAUAUACAGCAUGCUGCCUAGAUGUUUUAGCACAUUUGGAUUACAAAAAUGUUAGAAAUAAAAUUAUGUUUGUGAAAGGAUGGGCAUUUAAAAAGCUCUGGGUUAUGGUUGUCUGUGGUUGAAAUUAUAAAAUGAUAGUUCCCCCCACACACAUACAGCAUACACACACACACACACACAGACACACACAUACACACACACAAAUGUGGGUUAUUAUGGCUGAGUCAUUGAAUUUAUUUGGAAGAACCAUCUUCUUUUGCAUGACAGAAUACAGAUGGCCAUAAACUAUUUACCCAGACAUUUUGGGGUUGAGGGAUGUAAUCAUCAUUUGAAACAAAAAUACAACUCUAGAAAUACAUAUGAAAGUGAAUUACUUUGUUAAUGUGAAAGGGAAAAGGGGGAAAAUGAAUAAAACAGCAAGAAUACAACUGAAAGGAGACUAAAAGGAACAAGGGCAAACUGUCUUUGAGCACAAGGCAUAUGCGUAUGCUACACAGAGCGUUGUUCUAGAAAUGUUUAUAAACAAUGGAUGUUUGUGGAAUGAAAAACUGAAUAGCUGUGAUAUUAAGGCUUUCCACUCCUGGGAAAAAUAUGGACACCAUGGCUUAUAAGUUAUUUGAUUCUGACAAGCAUCUUCCUACCUCCUCUAACAUUUGGUUAUAUUAACUAUAUUGGAGGCUUUUCCUUUUGUUACUCUGUGUUUCUGCCAUCUGAAAACAAUGAGCUUAAACAGCUAUCAUGCUGUCAUUUUGCCCUGUGAAUAGACUCGUUAAUAUAGAAACCUAAUGAAAUGAUUGUUUUAAAAAAAGAAAAAAAAUCCCAUUCUAUACGUGUUUUACUUCUUAAAAUGUCCCUAAAUUACAAAGAUUCUCUGAAAAGAUAAAAAAUAUCUCACAUAUUCAGAGGAUGACUUUAGCCCAUUGUUUCAGGGCUUUUUCAUGCCUUAUCUCCUUUUAAAAACCAUAACAGGCUGUGAAAAACAAAAUAAAUUAAGGAGAAUAGUUCCUUCCUUUUUAUGAUAAAUCUGCAUGUGGCGGUGACGGUCAAGUACAAACUGUAAAUAAGUGAAAUAACUCAUAACUAGUAAUAUACAGGUUAAUCAACUAUGAUUAAAAGUAAAUAGGUUUUUCACCAAGAACAAUAUCUUUAACUCAAAAUUAAAUAAUUGGCAGCAUGCUAGGUAAAUUAUAAAAUAAGGAAUUUCUAAAAGCAGAGAAUGAUGUUCUUUCUCCGUUGUCAAUCUGAUGAGUCUUGGUGACCUUUUGUUCACAUUAAUGCUGACAAACUGCAUCAUGCAUGACCGUCCCAACCCCCUUCUCCUCCCAAUAGUUCCUUCUUUGAUUCUAAUCUGUAUUCAAGGGUGUGGGGUGGGACACUUUAGUAAGGGGUGGGGGCGAGGGGAUGGCAAUGGUAGACGCUGGUCGGGGCUGUCAAUAACCUUGGAGGCCUUUGGGAAGAGCAGAGGACAAUAAUUUAUUGCAGUAUAGGAGAGACAGCUAGGAAGUAAUUCCUCCGUGUUACCUUUAUAAUUUGAGAAGGCGUCCAAAGAAAUAACACAUCAGAGUUCAGUGCUAUGAAGGAAAAAGCACUGGACAAGUUAUUUGGAUGGGUAUUCUUGGUUUUCUUGGUUACAAUUUAAGGCAAAUAUGAAACUCAAAAAGGUACCUUGGGACCAUCGUGUUCUUGGGAAGUUGACACAAGAACCACAACAGUUUAGAGAAACCCCUAAAUAUCCAUCUUAGAAAAAAAAAGUACACAUUUUUAGUUCUUAGGAGAAAGAGCAAUAGAUUUAUUUGAAUGAAAUAAUUAAUGAGUCAUGGUCCCCCAGACCUUUUUCAGGCAUGAAGCUAGCACUGAAUACUUUGUGCUUUCAAAGUUUCAAAUGACCUUCAGUUAAACUUUUAUAACAAGGUUCCUUUAAAACACAUUUAUGCUUUGCUAUUAACACUACUACCAAUAAUACAGUAAUUACUAAUAGUGGGUAGUAAUGGCAUUACAUAUGAAUCUCAGAAUUAAAAUUAGCUGUUCAUCUCCAUCCUUCCCAACAGCCUGAGAGUGUGUCAAGACAUGGGACCACACAGAAUCUUACUGUUUGUAUUUUCAACGUCUUGCGUACAGUGACAAUAAAUGAAUGAGAGUUUUAAAAAACUGUAUAUAAAGACUAUUGAGUCCUAUUACAAACACAUUGUUUACACACAUAUAAAUCUGUGCUAUGACACUAGGUAUAAGCAUACAGAGGACACCUAACUUCACUUGAAGUCUAAGUAAACACAAAACAUGGCCUACAGUGAUUUCCCUGAGUUGGAGAACCAUACACAUGUCUGGUUGUCCUUUGGACAAGCUGGUAACAUGAAAAAGAGGCAAGACCAAUGUAAACACUGAUAUAUUCAUGAUAAUGCAAAAACAUUAAGAUUCAUUAAAAUGUUACAAAUAAGAAAAUCACUUGUGUUUUGGUAUUUAUAUACUUGAAGGAAGUUUAUUUGGCAUUAUGGGAGUUUAUUACAUUUCUAAUCAAAGUCUACUGACGACUCGUGGAGGGAGAGGAAAGCUGUCAGGUUCUCUAACUUAUCCAUCUGUUCAUGCCUCCCCCCUGGAUGGCACCCGUUCUCCAAUGGAGAAGCGGAGCACUGGCCUCUUGAAAGCUGUCUUUCUGGCACUGCCUUCCUGAGCGAAUGAAAUGGUUUGGUUUAGAAUACCUUCCCUUUCAGUCCUGUCCCAGCUUCCAGAUGAAUGUCCUUAAUUUUAAAGAAGCACAGUCCAAUAGUUUCUAUGUUGCUGGAAGAAGAAAAUUAAAUUAUGUUGUAAUUAUGUAGUCAACUAGCAUAUGGUCCUUUACCGGGGAAAAGUAGUUUUUAACCUCUCCCGUAAACUCUAGAGGGAACUUACAGAAGAGAAAUUCAGGCACCAGGAAACACAUGUAUUCAUCAUUUUAUUGGUUCUUAAAAUUUACUGUGACAUGGGAGGAGAACCUAUCAUCCUGCAUACUCUCAUGAAUGUAGCAGAUGAAAUCCAGGAAAGUUUAAUCAAUAAAAAUGACAGUACAUAUAUUUUUGUAGUACUUAAAAGUUUAUAACACACAUGCAUUAUCUCAUGUGACCCUCACAAACAACUAAAACUAAGGGCAGGGAUGAUCUUCAAUUUCAAGAUAAGAAACCAGGCUUGAGGUUAUUAAACUUUUUUUUUAAGACAAAAAUCUCACUCAGACUAUUACAUCUUAAAAUGAGGGUUAAUCUGGAAAUAGGCCAGUCAGUAUGAACCUGUUUUUAAGAUCAUUCAGCUAGUUUGGAGGCAAAGUCAAGACACAAACUCUGCCUUCUCCAAGCAAAAUUAGCACUCUUCACAAAUUCCUAGAACUACAUCAGUAGUUCAUGGUCAUAGACUAUUUACGUAAGAUUUCCUGCUUUAUAGUUUGGUUUGUCAAUGCAGUGCUCUUAGUGGUGGGCAUAUUUUAAAAAAAUCACUUAAUAGAAGAAAUUAAACAAUAAUGGGAUCUAAACUAUUGGAAGAAACAGUUAAAAGUAGUUUUAAAAUAAGAGAGGGGAGAGCUGGACAUUAAAGUACUAAUUUUACUUCUGAAAUUAUUUUUUUCCAGCUUUCUACAUGGUGUUAUCUUAAUAUUUGAAACUCUUAAGAUGUCAGUUUGAAUCCCUGCAUUACAUUUUAUAUAAUUUCUGUUGGUAUUGCUCAUAGAGCUUAUGUGACUAAUUAAACCUCACUGCAAUUACUUUUCAAGCAGAAGCUGUAGUUUACUUAUUUCUCAACAAAAACUAUGAUCAUUUGCCUUGUUUCCCAUGCAUUAUUCGAUGACUGAUUACUGUUACAGCGUGGAUUAUGUUUUGUAUUCCGCAGCACGCAAGCAUUAAUCUUCACUUAUUCUGCAAUAGUAUAAUUCAUUAAAACACAUGCUUUGAAUUUGGGGCACAUACAAGAAGAUGUAACCACACAGAAUACAGUGCUUUUAUGACAAAACAUAAUUAAUAAAACAUAAAAUGUGUUUUAUGAAGUUAUGGUUUUAAUUUGCUAUCUCAAGAAAU